AAGUCGAACGCGACUGAGGCUUCGGCCUCAGUUGAGUGGCGAACGGGUGAGUAACACGUGGGUGACCUACCUUCGAAUGGGGGAUAACGUCCCGAAAGGGACGCUAAUACCGCAUAAUAUCCUGCCUUUGAAUGGUGGAGAUCAAAGCCGGGGAUCGUAAGACCUGGCGUUUGAAGAGGGACCUGCGCCCGAUUAGGCUAGUUGGUGGGGUAACGGCUCACCAAGGCUUCGAUCGGUAGCCGGCCUUAGAGGGCGGACGGCCACACUGGGACUGAGACACGGCCCAGACUCC
rnacentral:rRNA from 1 species